rnacentral:rRNA from 1 species
UACGUAGGGACCAAGCGUUGUUCGGAUUCAUUGGGCGUAAAGGGUGCGUAGGCGGUCGUGCAAGUCGGAUGUGAAAUCUCAGGGCUCAACCCUGAAACUGCAUUCGAUACUGCGCGGCUAGAGUGCUGGAGGGGAGACUGGAAUUUACGGUGUAGCAGUGAAAUGCGUAGAUAUCGUAAGGAAGACCAGUGGCGAAGGCGAGUCUCUGGACAGCAACUGACGCUGAGGCACGAAGGCCAGGGGAGCAAACGGG